rnacentral:lncRNA from 1 species
UAUAAUUCUGGAGUACGGAGCCUUCCGUAUUUUCAAACCAUCUUUAAAGUUUAAAUUUUCAAAUUGAUUAUUAAAUUCGUUAGAUUUAAUUUAUAAUAUUUAAAAUAUUUAGAAAAUAAAUUUUAUGAUUUUUCGAUAUUAUUUGUCUGGUGAUCGAAGGGGCUCAAAAUUAAUAAUUUUAAUGGUCGUGGAGAGUCGUUUGCAAGUUUAACGGUAUAGAAAUAUCCAAAUCACGUAAAAUUUUGAUCGAAAAUUUUUUAUACUAUAUAAAAACAAGAUCAAUAUCUUAAAUCUAAAAUUUUAAUGUCAUAUCAUCAUAUUUUGUAAGAUUUUUAUUUUUAGCCAUUGAUUUUGAGCCCCUUCGAUUACUAGGCAAAUGAUCGAAAAAUUGUAAAAUUUAUUUUCUAGAUAUUUCUUCCUUUUUUUUUUUACAAAGAUAGAUAGCACGUUACCCGCUUUAUUUAUUUCAUUUAGAAAUAAACUUACCUGGAAAUGUGAAUCAAGGAUUUGAACCUGCGAUCUCGGGUGCCAACCACCAAGCCUUUUACCACUUGCUAUAUAACACUCUAAAUCAAGUAUUUUCUAGAUAUUUUAAAUACUCUAAAUCAAGUUUAAUGGGCCGAUCGUCGAUUCGAAAGCUCUAACAUAAAAAAUGAUUUGAAAACACGAAAAAUUCCGUAGUUUUAUAAGCAUAUCAGCCUCACUCAUACUGACAGUAUAACAUUUAAUAUAGUAAAAU